rnacentral:rRNA from 1 species
UUACGCUUAGUUAAGGUAUGGGCUAUCGGCUUCACCUAAGGCGACGAUCCGUGGCCUGUUCUGAGAGGACGCCCAACGACCACUGGAACUGAGACACGGUUCCAGAACUCCUACUGGGAAGCCAGCAAGUGGGGAAUAUUGCACAAUGGGCGCAAGCCUGAUGCAGCCAUGCCGCGUGUAUGAAGUAGCCUGUCGGGUUGUUAAGUACUUUCAGCGGGGAGGAAGGGAGUUAAGUUAAUACCUUUGCUCAUUGACGUUACCCGCAGAAGAAGCACCGGCGAACGCCGUGCCAGCAGCCGCGGUAAUACGGAGGGUGCAAGCGUUAAUCGGAAUGACUGGGCGUAAAGCGCACGCAGUCGGUUUGUUAAGUCAGGUGUGAAAUCCCCGGGCUCAACCUGGGAACUGCAUCUGAUACUGGCAAGCUUGAGUCUCGUAGAGGGGGGUAGAAUUCCAGGUGUAGCGGUGAAAUGCGUAGAGAUCUGGAGGAAUACCGGUGGCGAAGGCGGCCCCCUGG